CUGGAGGACCGAACCGACUAAUGUUGAAAAAUUAGCGGAUGACUUGUGGCUGGGGGUGAAAGGCCAAUCAAACCGGGAGAUAGCUGGUUCUCCCCGAAAGCUAUUUAGGUAGCGCCUCGUGAAUUCAUCUCCGGGGGUAGAGCACUGUUUCGGCAAGGGGGUCAUCCCGACUUACCAACCCGAUGCAAACUGCGAAUACCGGAGAAUGUUAUCACGGGAGACACACGGCGGGUGCUAACGUCCGUCGUGAAGAGGGAAACAACCCAGACCGCCAGCUAAGGUCCCAAAGUCAUGGUUAAGUGGGAAACGAUGUGGGAAGGCCCAGACAGCCAGGAUGUUGGCUUAGAAGCAGCCAUCAUUUAAAGAAAGCGUAAUAGCUCACUGGUCGAGUCGGCCUGCGCGGAAGAUGUAACGGGGCUAAACCAUGCACCGAAGCUGCGGCAGCGACGCUUAUGCGUUGUUGGGUAGGGGAGCGUUCUGUAAGCCUGCGAAGGUGUGCUGUGAGGCAUGCUGGAGGUAUCAGAAGUGCGAAUGCUGACAUAAGUAACGAUAAAGCGGGUGAAAAGCCCGCUCGCCGGAAGACCAAGGGUUCCUGUCCAACGUUAAUCGGGGCAGGGUGAGUCGACCCCUAAGGCGAGGCCGAAAGGCGUAGUCGAUGGGAAACAGGUUAAUAUUCCUGUACUUGGUGUUACUGCGAAGGGGGGACGGAGAAGGCUAUGUUGGCCGGGCGACGGUUGUCCCGGUUUAAGCGUGUAGGCUGGUUUUCCAGGCAAAUCCGGAAAAUCAAGGCUGAGGCGUGAUGACGAGGCACUACGGUGCUGAAGCAACAAAUGCCCUGCUUCCAGGAAAAGCCUCUAAGCAUCAGGUAACAUCAAAUCGUACCCCAAACCGACACAGGUGGUCAGGUAGAGAAUACCAAGGCGCUUGAGAGAACUCGGGUGAAGGAACUAGGCAAAAUGGUGCCGUAACUUCGGGAGAAGGCACGCUGAUAUGUAGGUGAAGUCCCUUGCGGAUGGAGCUGAAAUCAGUCGAAGAUACCAGCUGGCUGCAACUGUUUAUUAAAAACACAGCACUGUGCAAACACGAAAGUGGACGUAUACGGUGUGACGCCUGCCCGGUGCCGGAAGGUUAAUUGAUGGGGUUAGCGCAAGCGAAGCUCUUGAUCGAAGCCCCGGUAAACGGCGGCCGUAACUAUAACGGUCCUAAGGUAGCGAAAUUCCUUGUCGGGUAAGUUCCGACCUGCACGAAUGGCGUAAUGAUGGCCAGGCUGUCUCCACCCGAGACUCAGUGAAAUUGAACUCGCUGUGAAGAUGCAGUGUACCCGCGGCAAGACGGAAAGACCCCGUGAACCUUUACUAUAGCUUGACACUGAACAUUGAGCCUUGAUGUGUAGGAUAGGUGGGAGGCUUUGAAGUGUGGACGCCAGUCUGCAUGGAGCCGACCUUGAAAUACCACCCUUUAAUGUUUGAUGUUCUAACGUUGACCCGUAAUCCGGGUUGCGGACAGUGUCUGGUGGGUAGUUUGACUGGGGCGGUCUCCUCCUAAAGAGUAACGGAGGAGCACGAAGGUUGGCUAAUCCUGGUCGGACAUCAGGAGGUUAGUGCAAUGGCAUAAGCCAGCUUGACUGCGAGCGUGACGGCGCGAGCAGGUGCGAAAGCAGGUCAUAGUGAUCCGGUGGUUCUGAAUGGAAGGGCCAUCGCUCAACGGAUAAAAGGUACUCCGGGGAUAACAGGCUGAUACCGCCCAAGAGUUCAUAU
rnacentral:rRNA from 1 species